ensembl:lncRNA
CUCAUCCCCUUAUCUCAUCCCCUUAUCUCGUCCCCUUAUCUCAUCCCCUUAUCUCAUCCCCUUAUCUCAUCCCCUUAUCUCAUCCCCUUAUCUCAUCCCCUUAUCUCAUUAUCAGCUGAUUAUCAGCUGUUGUCAAACACAUAUGAGUCUGGAUAGACCGUUCCCUUCCUCGUUCAGCAUUACUAGGUUGUUGCUUCCUCGUUCAGCAUUACUAGGUUGUUGCUUCCUCGUUCAGCAUUACUAGGUUGUUGCUGGGUCGGUCAGUGUUACUAGGUUGUUGCUGGGUCGGUCAGUGUUACUAGGUGGUUGCUGGGUAGGUCAGUGUUACUAGGUGGUUGCUGGGUAGGUCAGUGUUACUAGGUGGUUGCUGGGUCGGUCAGUGUUACUAGAUGGUUGCUGGGUCGGUCAGUGUUACUAGGUGGUUGCUGGGUCGGUCAGUGUUACUUUGAUUUGAUUUGAAAUUUUUGAUUUGAUUUGAUAGUUGCUGGGUCGGUCAGUGUUACUAGGUGGUUGCUGGGUCGGUCAGUGUUACUAGGUGGUUGCUGGGUCGGUCAGUGUUACUAGGUGGUUGCUGUGUCAGCAGGCUGAAUGAACACGGUCAGGAGCUGGGUGUUAAAGAGACAAGUCAGAUAUAGGCUGGUGUGAACC